GUCGAGAGGUGCAAGACUCGCCGCACUGUUCAGUAACACGUGGAUAACCUACCCUCAGGAGGGGGAUAACCCCGGGAAACUGGGGAUAAUACCCCAUAGAUCAGGGACGCUGGAAUGCCCCCUGAUUCAAAGGUCCGCCGCCUGAGGAUGGGUCUGCGGCCGAUUAGGUUGUUGUUGGGGUAACGGCCCAACAAGCCAUUGAUCGGUACGGGUUGUGAGAGCAAGAGCCCGGAGAUGGAUUCUGAGACACUGAAUCCAGGCCCUACGGGGCGCAGCAGGCGCGAAAACUUUACAAUGCGAGAAAUCGUGAUAAGGGAACCCCGAGUGCCCGUAAAUUCGGGCUGUCCGCCAGUGUAAAUAACUGGUGAAGAAAGGGCCGGGCAAGACCGGUGCCAGCCGCCGCGGUAAUACCGGCGGCUCGAGUGGUGGCCACUAUUACUGGGCUUAAAGCGUCCGUAGCUGGAUUGUUAAGUCUCUUGGGAAAUCCACCGGCUCUACCGAUGGGCGUUCAGGAGAAACUGGCAAUCUAGGGACCGGGAGAGGUGAGAGGUACUCCAGGGGUAAGAGUGA
rnacentral:rRNA from 1 species